UACGUAGGGGGCAAGCGUUGUCCGGAAUCAUUGGGCGUAAAGAGCGUGUAGGCGGUCCGGUAAGUCGGCUGUGAAAGUCCAGGGCUCAACCCUGGGAUGCCGGUCGAUACUCUUGUGCUUGAGUUCGGGAGAGGAGCGUGGAAUUCCCAGUGUAGAGGUGAAAUUCGUAGAUAUUGGGAAGAACACCGGUGGCGAAGGCGGCGCUCUGGGCCAGUACUGACGCUGAGGAGCGAAAGCGUGGGGAGCGAUCCGG
rnacentral:rRNA from 1 species